rnacentral:rRNA from 1 species
GACGAAGGAUGCAAGCGUUAUCCGGAUUCAUUGGGUUUAAAGGGAGCGUAGGCGGGCUUGUAAGUCAGUGGUGAAAUCUGUGGGCUUAACCCACAAACUGCCAUUGAUACUGCAGGUCUAGAGUACAGUUGCCGUUGGCGGAAUAUGACAUGUAGUGGUGAAAUACUUAGAUAUGUCAUAGAACACCGAUUGCGAAGGCAGCUAACGAAACUGUAACUGACGCUGAGGCUCGAAAGUGCGGGGAGCGAACAGG